UUACGGCCACAUCAUGUUGAAACAAUGGUUCCCGUAUGAUCACCAAAGUUAAGCAACAUUUAGCCUGAUCAGUACCUAGAUGGAUGAGUGCUUGGGUAUAUCAGGUGUUGUAAG